rnacentral:rRNA from 1 species
UGCCAGCAGCCGCGGUAACACAGAGGUGGCAAGCGUUGUUCGGUAUCACUGGGCUUAAAGGGCGCGUAGGCUGUGCGGUACGGUUCGGGUGAAAUCCCUCGGCUCAACCGAGGAACUGCCUGGGCAACGGCCGUGCUAGACAGCAUCAGGGGAAGGUGGAACUCCCGGUGGAGCGGUGAAAUGCGUAGAUAUCGGGAGGAACGCCGGUGGCGAAAGCGACCUUCUGGGGUGCUUGUGACGCUGAGGCGCGAAAGCUAGGGGAGCGAACGGGAUUAGAUA